rnacentral:rRNA from 1 species
AACGAACGCUGGCGGCAGGCCUAACACAUGCAAGUCGAGCGCCCAGCAAUGGGAGCGGCAGACGGGUGAGUAACACGUGGGAACCUUCCCUAUAGUACGGAAUAUACCAGGGAAACUUGGAGCAAUACCGUAUACGCCCGAGAGGGGAAAGAUUUAUCGCUAUAGGAUGGGCCCGCGUUGGAUUAGCUAGUUGGUGAGGUAACGGCUCACCAAGGCAACGAUCCAUAGCUGGUUUGAGAGAAUGACCAGCCACACUGGGACUGAGACACGGCCCAGACUCCUACGGGAGGCAGCAGUGGGGAAUCUUGGACAAUGGGCGCAAGCCUGAUCCAGCCAUGCCGCGUGAGUGAUGAAGGCCUUAGGGUUGUAAAGCUCUUUUGCCGGGGACGAUAAUGACGGUACCCGGAGAAUAAGUCCCGGCUAACUUCGUGCCAGCAGCCGCCGCAG